AGAAGAUUAAAAAAGCUGGUGAAAACCUUCACUUUUUCUUAUGUUAAUUUGUCCAAAUGUCAACGAACACCUGAUAUGUAUGUCAGAGACUUGAUGGUGUCAAUUUAUCAAGAAACACCUUUGGUUUAGAAUCUGUUCCUUCUGAUCGUGGAUAAAUUGGUGGCCUUCCCUCUGUCCCUGUUUUCCACAGAAGUAAUCUAUCCAUUUUGGUGUUCUGGCGAGCAUGUUUUCCUGUAGAAUGUUGUGUUGGCCCUUAGGUUUUGUCAGCCGAUGGCCCUGCGAUUUAAUCUUAUUUCCUGCCCUGUUUAUAAGCAUGAGACAGGAAAGCAAAAAGCAAAUAUGUAGUGUUUGUAGGAAAGAUGGUUUAUAAACAUUGAAGGACUUACAUUUUCAACGAUAGUAGAACUUUUAAAUAUACAGAGAAAUACUUAAACUAUGAUAUUAGAGUAUUUUAUCACAUAUUAUAGAUUAUUUCUACAUAAUACUAUUUGAUAAGUUUUAUGUACACCUGUCCCCUCCAAAUCCCUCAUUUCUAUUGUUAAGCUUAAUUUUAGACUCAGGAGGAAGAUAGUGGCCUCUAUGGUGUUAUGCCGGAAACUCAUUCCUGUGAGAAGCAGUGCUGAAACUGACAUUAGAACGUAGGACUUUGAAAGAUACACUGGCUAGUUUUGGUCAUACUGCAGUAGCUGAAGGCUCGCUUGUAUGUAACCUGUGCUGUGUCCUGUCUAUGUCUCCCAAGGAAUUAAGAAAAAUGCUUGAUUAUGAAGGUCUCCAGCGAGUGAGAAUCAUAGCAAGUGAUAAUCUCUGGGAGCCAAUUUCCUCUUCUGUGCUGCUUGACCAGGAGCUCUGGAAGGUGGUUGAUGUUAUAGGAGCUCAUUAUCCCGGAACCUACACAGUCUGGAAUGCAAAGAUGUCAGGGAAGAAGCUUUGGUCGUCGGAAGACUUUAGCACUGUCAACAGUAAUGUUGGCGCAGGCUGUUGGGGUCGCAUAUUGAACCAGAAUUACAUCAAUGGCAAUAUGACCGCCACAAUUGCUUGGAAUUUGGUGGCUAGUUACUAUGAAGAAUUGCCCUAUGGACGAAGUGGAUUGAUGACAGCCCAGGAGCCGUGGAGUGGACAUUAUGUAGUAGCAUCUCCUAUCUGGGUAUCAGCUCAUACAACUCAAUUUACUCAACCAGGCUGGUAUUACCUGAAGACAGUUGGCCAUCUAGAGAAAGGAGGAAGCUAUGUAGCUCUGACUGAUGGCUUGGGGAAUUUCACCAUCAUCGUUGAAACUAUGGUAAUUGUCCGUUGUUGGGACUCAAGUAGUGGGCAUCUCAUACUUCACCAGGAACUGUGUCUUUAGACAGACGGAUAGGAUAUUGUGGUGUUCUGGGCAUAGGAGGGCAUAUCUCCAAGAUUCUUGUGACUGCUGCCCUGGGAGAAAGGUUGGAGAAGGCUAUUGGUUACCUUGCUCCUUCUGUUGUUUUAAGACAGCUCUCUUUUUAAAGAUAUAUUGAUGUAAAUAAUAACCAGUUCUUCCAACCAGCCCCAUGCUCCCAGAAUAAGAUUUAGACUCAAAAUAUAUAUUUACAAAUACCUUGGUUAUAUUGUGAGGCUUUUUUAUUAUUAGAUCAUAAGUUAAAUUAUCCCAUUUAUUUUAAUCUAUAUUCUGCCAUGUGGCUGGUUACCUGUGCUCAGGUCCCAAGCAUCUGUCUCGUCACAUCUUCCCAGGAGGGUCUCCUGCCUUGCUGUAUCCUGGAUGUCCUACCUUCUAUUCUACUCUUUUCUAUAGGCUAUAGUUUUUUUUAAUCGAAAGGGAGCAAUAUAAUAUACAAGAUAUUCUCUCCACAAUAUAUUGGGAUAACUGGCGAACAUAUGUGUCAGUUCCUUUGGGUGUGUAGCCAGGACUGGGGCUGCCAGUUAAACAGUAACUAGUGUGAAGAGCUGCCAGUUCCCUGUCCCAUUUCUCCUUGCUCCCAGCGGUUCAUAAGGCUUCCAGCAUCACCUCAUCCUAGCCAGCAGUUAGUGUCCAUUUCUUUGCUUAUAGUCAUUCUUGAGGGUGUGAGGUGAUGUUAUUACCGUUUGACUUUCCUUUUCCUACUGACUAAUGAUGCCAGUUAUAUUUUCAUAUAAUUUUUGGCUAUCUGUAUUUCCUCACUGGAGAAAUGUCUAUUUAAAUCUCCAUUGCCCAUUUAAGAGUAUUUUUAGUUUUCUUCUUGAAUUGUAAGAGUUCUUCAUAUAAUCUAUCUAAAAGCCCCUCAGAAGACACAUGGCCGCUGUAAUGUGUAGAUCAUACUACCCUGUUUUAAGCUCUGGGUAGAAUGUGGUAUGAGCCAUCACUGUAGUUCCCUUGGAUUCAUAGAUAAAACACACACACACACACACACACACACACACACACACACACACACACACACAGAGAGAGAGAGAGAGAGAGAGAGAGAGAGAGAGAGAGAGAGAGAGAGAGAGAUUGAGAGAGAGAGAGAGCACACUAGUUUAUUUUUAAAUGUUUUAGCUCAAUGGCCGGGCAUUUUUAAACCUUUUGCAGCUAACAUGCUCUUACCUUCACUCCCAGCUCAACACCUCUAAAUCUGCCCUCACCUUAAUUGUCUGGUUACCUUCUCCUAGUUCAGCACCCUAAAUCUGCCCUCAGCUCAGUUGUGUUUCUCCCACCUGCACACACGGAUGAGAAGUCUGAGAGGAGGGGAGGAUUGAUUUCUCAGCUGAGCUGAGUCACAUGGCUCCAGCACAUGGAAACAAGGAAACACAUCUGCCAGAGAGAGCUUAAGCCAGAGGCUGGGAACGCCUGCUGUGCAAACAAGCUAACUGGUUCCCCAAAUCCUAGAAGAGAGGCACUGAGAAACAAACAAUAAAGCUGCCUGUCUCCAGCCAGCAAAAAAAAAAAUCAAAGGACAGAUUUUUAAAAUUUGAUUAAACUGUUUUUAAGGAUAGUAAGGAUUAUAAUAGUAAUGGUUCAGAUGUUCUCAAAUAAACAGGUAUUAAGCUCCACGAAAGAGAAAAGUUAAGAGAGAGUGAUACAAUAAACAAAAGAAAAUGUAAUUACAGUAAGAUACAGAGAAAUAAAAAUAUUGAGACAUUCAAUCUUAAAAAAUUAGACCAAAGGCAAGGGGUAGGAAACCUAGCCUAUCUUAGACAGUAAAAAUUUAGGUCCUAAAAAUCAUAUAAAGAGAGAGCCUAGACAUAGGCUUAUACAAUAAACAAAAGAAAAUUUAAGCUUAUAUUAUAUAAAUAAUUUAGGCCUUGAUCUCAUGAUGGUCAGGACAGGGAACAACAAAAACACUGUCUCACAAGUUAACGUUUAUUUACAUUGUUUUAUUAGCUUUAAAUUGCUUUAAUUAUCAAAAUAAAUGUAAUUAAGAGUUUGGUGGUUAUAUUAAAAUUCCUCUGGGAGAGCGGUCAAGCUAAAUGUUUAAUGAUUUCUGAUUAUUGGACCAAGGACAUGUUAUUUUGGGAGAGAGACUCUGUGUUUGUGCUGACAAGAAAGGAGAGAGGGCUUUGGACUCCAUCCAUAGAUCACAUAUGACGGGGGAGGCCCCUAAAGAACUAAAAAGGUUAAAAAAAAUCAAACAAGACAGAUAAAGAUUCGUCAUGCAAUCCUUCACACGACAUUACAAUUGGUUAUUAAUAAAAUUAACUCACGAAAAAGACAGCUGUCUUUCACUACUCACAGAACAAAAUGCAUCCUUAAUUGAUCUACAC
rnacentral:lncRNA from 14 species